GAUGAAGAACGCAGCGAAAUGCGAUAAGUAAUGUGAAUUGCAGAAUUCAGUGAAUCAUCGAAUCUUUGAACGCACAUUGCGCCCGUCAGUAUUCUGGCGGGCAUGCCUGUUCGAGCGUCAUUACGCCCCUCAAGUCCCCUGUGGACUUGGUGUUGGGGAUCGGCGAGGCUGGUUUUCCAGCACAGCCGUCCCUUAAAUUAAUUGGCGGUCUCGCCGUGGCCCUCCUCUGCGCAGUAGUAAAACACUCGCAACAGGAGCCCGGCGCGGUCCACUGCCGUAAAACCCCCCAACUUUUUAUAGUUGACCUCGAAUCAGGUAGGACUACCCGCUGAACUUAAGCAUAUCAAUAGCGAGGA
rnacentral:misc_RNA from 1 species